GGAAAUUACUAUUGAAUAUUCUCUUUUUGUCGGAUGAUCAGUGUUUUUUCUCUUUUACUUUAACCAACCAUGCUUAUUGCAAACUGUUCCGGGUGUUGCUACCGAAAAAUGCAAGUCUGAUGUUUAUACACAUAUACAUAUAUAUGUAUACUGUCCCUAUAACUCCAGUUUUAUACACAUAUACAUAUAUAUGUAUACUGUCCCUAUAACUCCAGCUUCAAAAUACAGUGUUGGGUUAAGUCCAAGAAAAAUGUCAACAAAGUAUUAAAGGUACUCCUUUGAUUGUGUCCAUUUGUCCUGUGAAAUCAUACGGCACAGGUAGGCCAACCCUCCGGAUUCACUGUUUCGCGAGGGCAGGCAUCUGUUGGGAAAAGGUUGCCAUUGGAUAUUUCACUUUCUAUUUGGCCCCUCUCGUCCAGAACCCUUUUUUCCCUCUUUGGUCAAUAAAAAAAGUCAAGAGUGCCAAAGGUGUACUCCAGCAGAAGGCCAGUCACAGCACAAGCAGUUCGCUAGGUCCACAGUCUUUAGUUGGCCCAUAAGCACAGGUCCAGACCAGGUCCACAGUCUUUAGUUGGCUCAUAAGCACAGGUCCAGACCAGGUCCACAGUCUUUAGUUGGCUCAUAAGCACAGGUCCAGACCAGGUCCACAGUCUUUAGUUGGCUCAUAAGCACAGGUCCAGACUAAGAGCCAUUGUCUUCUGGAGAGAAUUCAGCCUCUCUGAUUAUUCCUAGUCCAGCAGUGUCAUUAUAGAGGAGUUGCAGUUCUGGCAUCUUUUCUGAUCUCUACGCACUGUAGUCCAGUAGAGCGCCCCAAGUGCUCGACAUGAAACAGAAGUCCUCCGUGGCACAAGGGGGCACUGCCCAUUUACAAAGCAUACAGACAAACAGGAAGACGGACAAGCAUGUUAAGCUGAUGACGGACAGCAGAUUAUCUACAGCGGGGUUGGUGUGCAUGGAGCAGGGGAAGCAGCAUACGCUGGACUGACGGCGCUGUUGCAGGGAGAAAGCUGAGAAUCCUGACACUUAAAUUGGAGCCAAAAACUGAGACUGUUAUUUACAGCACAUAUGGAGGGUUCCACCUGGGUGUUCUGGGCGGUAAACAACCGCCUCAGAGCAUAUGGCCCCGGGUUGACAUUUACACGCAGUGAACUCGCAUGACUCUGCAUCCUAAAAUGUCAGAGCACCAAAUGGAUAGGAUUUACAAAUGCAGGAUUAGAAAUACUCACAUAUGCAUAGACGAUGUGCUGUAUAAUAAUGAGUAGUUCAUAAAUGCUAAUGGGGUCCAUUUUAUGGACAGUUUUCUACAAGCAUUCACUACAAGAGUGAUUUGGUGUUGAUGCUACUGUCAGAUGGAACCAGAUGUAUUCAUGGGAAAAUGUCAGAGGAAUGACGAUCACACAAUUCAAUUUUAAAUUACAGUUCAUUUAGUUAUGAGAAAUAACGCAUGCUAUGGCCAUACAGUAAUACAAUAACAAUUUAAUCAAUGACUUUCAAGUUUUUGUACGGAGGCCUGAUGAGCAGUGAGUGUACCUUAUUUAGUUGUUAAGGCCCAUCAUGGUUUGCAGUUUGUUGCUUUUGUAAAAGUCAGUUCUUGAGCAGUGGCUGAGAGUGGCUGUCUGUCAGGUUCAGCAAUGUGAUCCGCCAUGUUUAGAGAGGAGGUGAGGUU
ensembl:lncRNA